rnacentral:tRNA from 1 species
GGCACUGUAUUUUAUAAAAAUAUUAUCUUGCAAAGAUAAAGAAGCUUUAAGGCUAGUGCUU